rnacentral:rRNA from 1 species
UACGUAGGGUCCAAGCGUUAAUCGGAAUUACUGGGCGUAAAGCGCGCGCAGGCGGUUGUGUAAGCCAGAUGGGAAAUCCCCGGGCUUAACCUGGGAAUGGCAUUUGGGACUGCACGGCUAGAGUACGGCAGAGGAGACUAGAAUUCCUGGUGUAGCAGUGAAAUGCGUAGAUAUCAGGAGGAAUACCGAUGGCGAAGGCGGGAUCCUGGGCCAGUACUGACGCUGAGGAGCGAAAGCGUGGGGAGCAAACAGG